rnacentral:miRNA from 1 species
UCCAAUGUCAAGUGUUCUCACAA